AUUGACGGGGGCCCGCACAAGCGGUGGAGCAUGUGGUUUAAUUCGAAGCAACGCGAAGAACCUUACCAGGUCUUGACAUCCUUUGACCACUCUGGAGACAGAGCUUUCCCUUCGGGGACAAAGUGACAGGUGGUGCAUGGUUGUCGUCAGCUCGUGUCGUGAGAUGUUGGGUUAAGUCCCGCAACGAGCGCAACCCUUGAUUUUAGUUGCCAGCAUUUAGUUGGGCACUCUAAAGUGACUGCCGGUGCAAGCCGGAGGAAGGUGGGGAUGACGUCAAAUCAUCAUGCCCCUUAUGACCUGGGCUACACACGUGCUACA
rnacentral:rRNA from 1 species